rnacentral:lncRNA from 1 species
UUGGGGGGUUAGGGAGGGAGCCACUUCAAUUUUUUUGCAAAUUCUCCUCUCUCCCUGCAGUUAUACUCAGACCUGCUUGUGUGCCUGUGGGCAACGGCUGUCCAAAAGUGUGCAAUCCAGCGCUGCUGCUGAAGAACUGUGACCAGCUCCUCUCCUACUAUCAAAGAUGGAGGAGGAUUGAAACUGUUCCUUGUCUCCACCAAAAGCUGAGAUCAGUUUUCAGGCAUAUAGAUGAAGACCCCCUUUAUUCACAUGAGAGGUGUUUUUUAGAGCGUUCUUGGAAAAUGAAAUGGUUUUAUAAGAUGAUACCAGCUGAGCAGUGGCACAAAGAUCAAGUAAUGACAGAGCAUUUCUUCAUCUGACGAUCCAGUGGAGAAGAGACCACAAACAGAAAGCUGUGGCAGCCUGACAGUUUGAAUUGUGCAAGUAUCAGAGUUUAAGUCUUCAUUGUCUUCAGCUUUUGAGAAUAUAAUUAGAUCUGCCUCCUGUAAUGAUAUCUAAUAAAAUCAAGAUUCUUUCAUACUGAUUAUGUAGA